CAUAGAAAGUAUCUUUUUUGUUUAGCGCGCACGACACGUUUUUGUGUUGCGUGUGGGGAUUAGAAUAUUCUUAACUCUACGGUUUUUGCUAGAGUUUAUUUCCUAAUUUUAACUCGGAUAGUCGGAUAUCUAUUUUUUAACAAAGAAAGUAUAGGGAGUUAUGACUUUAAGAUUGUAAAAGUCAUGAGUUAAAUUAUUAGUAAGUACUUUUUCCUUUUUUAAAGUAGGGGGAAUGUUAGAAUCUUAAUUCUAUUUGUAGCUUGUUUUUGUACUUCAUAUUACUAACCCUGUAUCUCACUUUAGCAAAGGUUUAGUUCCAGUGAUUGUAUAUACAGUGUUGGGGUAAAGGGACUCCAGAAGGCAGACAAGGCUCGACUCCAGACUCUAGUUGAAGUAACAGAAGAGAGAGGAGUGUCCAGUGUUUAGUUGACUCCAGACUCUAGCGUAGCAGAAGGGAGAGGAGUGACGUUGUCGACUUCAGACUCUAGCGUAGCAGAAGGGAGAGGAGUGACGUUGUUUUAGUGAUCCCACAGAUUCCAGUCGACAGAUACUAUCUGUGUUCUGUGACGUGGAAAGAGUGGGUUUUGUUUUAUAGUUAUCAGUUCCAGUUUAGUUGAAGUCCUCAUCAUUCAGAAGUCCCUCAUAUAGUAAGAAGAACAUCAUCAUCAGAGUAGUAGUUUUAAUUUAAUAGUUGUUUAAUCUAAUAGUAAAAAGACAUUAUUUAGUUUAGUAUUGAAUUGUGUAUUAGUUAGAGCAGUGUGAGUAACUGAGUCACACCAAUCACCUUUUAAUCACUCAUUCACUAUUUGAGGGUGAGUACAUAGAGUAACAAGGUUACAUUUGAAACACCAUUUAUUUGUAUAACCUCUUUAUUCAUCUAAUUUGUAUUUAUAAUAA